rnacentral:rRNA from 1 species
CCUACGGGAUGCAGCAGUGAGGAAUAUUGGUCAAUGGACGAGAGUCUGAACCAGCCAAGUAGCGUGAAGGAUGACUGCCCUAUGGGUUGUAAACUUCUUUUAUAUGGGAAUAAAAUGUUCCACGUGUGGGAUUUUGUAUGUACCAUAUGAAUAAGGAUCGGCUAACUCCGUGCCAGCAGCCGCGGUAAUACGGAGGAUCCGAGCGUUGUCCGGAUUUAUUGGGGUUAAAGGGAGCGUAGGUGGAUUGUUAAGUCAGUCGUGAAAGUUUGCGGCUCAACCGUAAAAUUGCAGUUGAAACUGGCAGUCUUGAGUACAGUAGAGGUGGGCGGAAUUCGUGGUGUAGCGGUGGAAUGCUUAGAUAUCACGAAGAACUCCGAUUGCGAAGGCAGCUCACUGGACUGCAACUGACACUGAGGCGCGAAAGUGUGGGUAUCAAACAGGAUUAGAUACCCCUGUAGUC